AUGAACGCUGGCGGCGUGCCUAACACAUGCAAGUCGAACGAAGCAUCCCGCCCGAAGAAGAGGAGAGCUUGACUCAAAUCGGACUCAAUUGGGAUGACUUAGUGGCGGACGGGUGAGUAACGCGUGGGUAACCUGCCUUAUACAGGGGGAUAACAGUUAGAAAUGACUGCUAAUACCGCAUAAGCGCACAGUAUCGCAUGAUACAGUGUGAAAAGCCGAGACGGUAUAAGAUGGACCCGCGUCUGAUUAGCCAGUUGGCAGGUAACGGCCUACCAAAGCGACGAUCAGUAGCCGGCCUGAGAGGGUGAACGGCCACAUUGGGACUGAGACACGGCCCAAACUCCUACGGGAGGCAGCAGUGGGGGAUAUUGCACAAUGGGGGAAACCCUGAUGCAGCCGACGCCGCGUGAGUGAAGAAGUAUUUCGGUAUGUAAAGCUCUAUCAGCAGGGAAGAAAAUGACGGUACCUGACUAAGAAGCUCCGGCUAAAUACGUGCCAGCCGCAGC
rnacentral:rRNA from 1 species